rnacentral:rRNA from 1 species
GACGAACGCUGGCGGUGUGCUUCACACAUGCAAGUCGAACGAGGUAGCAAUACCUAGUGGCGGACGGGUGAGUAACGCGUGGGAAUCUGCCUUUAGAUGGGGGGAUAACGGGUCGAAAGACUCGCUAAUACCGCAUAUGACGAAAGUUGAAAGGAGUAAUCCGUCUAAAGAUGAGCCCGCGUCCGAUUAGCUAGUUGGUAGAGUAAAAGCCUACCAAGGCGACGAUCGGUAGCUGGUCUGAGAGGAGUGAUCAGCCACAAUGGGACUAGAGACACGGCCCACUAACUCCUACGGGAGGCAGCAGUGGGAAGUUUUACGCAAUGGCGAAAGCCUGACGUAGCGACACCGCGUGAGCGAAGAAGCCCCUGGGUGUAAAGCUCUGUCAGCUGGAACGAAAAAAUGACGGUACCAGCAGAGGAAGCAUCGGCUAACUACGUGCCAGCAGCCGCGGU